rnacentral:rRNA from 1 species
UGUGUAGGCGGUUGUUUAAGUUUGGUGUGAAAUCUCCCGGCUCAACUGGGAGGGUGCGCCGAAUACUGAAUGACUUCGAGUGCGGGAGAGGAAAGUGGAAUUCCUGGUGUAGCGGUGAAAUGCGUAGAUAUCAGGAGGAACACCGGUGGUGUAGACGGCUUUCUGGACCGUAACUGACGCUGAGACACGAAAGCGUGGGUAGCAAACAGGAUUAGAUACCCUGGUAGUCCACGCCCUAAACGAUGCAUAUUUGGUGUGGGCAGUUCAUUCUGUCCGUGCCGGAGCUAACGCGUUAAAUAUGCCGCCUGGGGAGUACAGUCGCAAGGCUGAA